GGCUUCCUCAUGCUUGAGGAGGCAGAGUGAAUCUAUCUACCCAUGUACACCUCAGCCCAGGCUACAGCGCUGGGCCCGCAUUAUGAAAGGGGAGACCUUG